rnacentral:rRNA from 1 species
AUUGAACGCUGGCGGCAGGCCUAACACAUGCAAGUCGAGCGGAUGAAGGGAGCUUGCUCCUGGAUUCAGCGGCGGACGGGUGAGUAAUGCCUAGGAAUCUGCCUGGUAGUGGGGGAUAACGUCCGGAAACGGGCGCUAAUACCGCAUACGUCCUGAGGGAGAAAGUGGGGGAUCUUCGGACCUCACGCUAUCAGAUGAGCCUAGGUCGGAUUAGCUAGUUGGUGGGGUAAAGGCCUACCAAGGCGACGAUCCGUAACUGGUCUGAGAGGAUGAUCAGUCACACUGGAACUGAGACACGGUCCAGACUCCUACGGGAGGCAGCAGUGGGGAAUAUUGGACAAUGGGCGAAAGCCUGAUCCAGCCAUGCCGCGUGUGUGAAGAAGGUCUUCGGAUUGUAAAGCACUUUAAGUUGGGAGGAAGGGCAGUAAGUUAAUACCUUGCUGUUUUGACGUUACCAACAGAAUAAGCACCGCUAACUUCGUG